UACCUUUCUCACACGACUGUGACAACCGUGACCCUAAAGUCGAGUUUCACUUGUGGGUGGAAAUACUUUUGGAGAGGAAAGAAGAGCUGAGGUUUCGGAGCAGCGAUAGAGGCGAACGACAGCGAACACCAUCGCACAGCGGACAAGAUGGAAGCUGUACAUAAGUUAUGGCACCCUGGCACGUGGAGCCAUGGUGAUCGUAGCACUAGUCGUGAUUAUCAUUAUUUACUGCUGCUUUUACAGAGUGACAUGUAAGUGUAUAGACACACACACACACACACACACAAAUUACAACACAAAGUUAGUUUUCUCUGCUUUUCAGCACACGAAUCAUCUCCCAGUAAAGACCCACAGGAGCCGAUCACGCACCGAGGACAUGCUGACCGUAAUGAGGAAAAGACUGAUUCUGGUUCGGUGUAUGAGAAUCUGACUCUUUCUGGUUCGGUGUAUGAGAAUCUGACUCUUUCUGGUUCGGUGUAUGAGAAUCUGACUCUUUCUGGUUCGGUGUAUCAGUUUCUGGUUUAGAGUAUCAGACUCUAAAGAAGACCAAUCGAAACACGUGCAUUUACGAGAGUGUUUAUGAAUGUGUAGAUGACAGCGGGACACGCGGCGGGACACGCAGCAGGACCGAGUCCAUCUACCAGGACAUUUGAGAAUUUCUGAGAAUUCGUCCUUGCUUUGAAGACCAUCAAUUUUUUUAUUUUCCAAUAUUGAAAGAUAAAUUUUAUAGAACAUAUUAUAAACAUAUAUUAAAUUUGAACGUACGCAGUCCGAACCCCAAAAAAAACAUACAAGUCUCUCUGUACAGUCAGGUCCGUAAGUAUUUGGACAGUGACCCGGUUUUUGCGAUUUUGCCGCUGUACACCACCACGGUGGAUUUGAAAUGAAGCAAUGACGUGAUUGAAGUGUAGACCUUCAGCUUGAAUUCAAGGGGUUUAACAAAAAUAUUGCAUUAACCGUUUACACUUACUUACAGAGUCCCUCCAUUCUCACAG